UACCCCUUGGGGGUUAACCUUGAACUUAAUUUCAAAGAGUACAUUUGAAACACACAGAUUGUACUCAACAAAUGUCAUCUAAUUUGAUUCUUAAACCAGUCAUUCUAGUGGUUUAGAAAAGGUCGUCAUCUCCCAAGGAGAUGGUCUAGAUGGCUGUUACUUGCCAGGUGUUUGCUCUCUACCCUGGAGGGGGCCCAACUGUAUUUCUUGAAACUGUGUCUCAGAUCCAGGCCCUGAGGGAGAGCUCUCAUCUUCUCAGGGUGGGUUCCCUCUAAGAUCCCAAGCAUCUCCCAGGCCCCUCUCUGCAGUGCUCUCCGCAUUUCAGGGCCUGGAAGACAGACUGGCAGUUUCUCAGGAGCUGGAAGAGAGCAGCUAGAGGUUAUAUCCAGCAGCUGUGGAGCCUCAGGAAUUAUAAACCUACACUUUGCAAGUCCAACAAUUUCCCCACCACUCUUUGCUCAGGAAGGGAGGGAAAUCUUUAAAUGUUCUUAAAGUCACAGUGUUGAGAAGCAGGUCAAACUAGAAAGUCCUGUGUGUGUACCAGGAUCGAGCACAAACCAUCAAAAAUAAAAUUCUCAAAUCUGUGUAAAUCAAAUGACAUUUUUGAACAAUCAGUGGAGCAAAUAAGAAAUCAAAAAGGGAAAUAAAAAGCAAUGCCAGGACAAGUGAAAAUGAAAAUCACACAAAUAUAAACAAUGGAAUACCAUGAAAACAAUGUCAAGUAGGAAGGCAUAAUUAUAAAUGCUUAUAGGAAAAAAAAAAAGGUAUCAAAAUGACAGCCUGACUUUACACUGUAAGAAACCAGAAAUGGCCAAGGAGAUUGUGCGGUGGUUCUGAAAUGAAUUUUCAUGCCCAAGGCCCCAGACAUCAUAGGUUCAAUUGCUGAUGCCACAAAAGUGCCACAGCUAAGCAAUGCUCUGUCACUCAUUAAAGUAAAUCCCAAAAGGAGGACAGUCAGUGUCACUAACCUGUUAGGCACACACGGUACUAAGCACAAGAACCCACACAAGGAUCCGGGUUCGAGCCCCCCAGCCCCCACCUGCAGGGGGGAAGCUUCAAAAGCAGCAAAGCAGGUCUGCAGGUGUCUAUCUUUCUCCCUCUCUACCUUCCCCUCUUCUCUCAAUUUCUUUCUGUCCUAUUCAAUAAAAUGGAAAAAAAUGGCUGCCAAGAGUAGUGGAGUCGUGGUGCCAGCAACCAGCCCAAGCAAUAACCUUGGAGGCAAAAAUAAAUAAAUAAAUAAAUCCCCCCACAAUAAAGAAAAUGAACAGUUGAGACAUAUAGCUAGAAGAAAGAAGACAGUACAUAUUGGAGCAGGAGAAACAACAUAGGAAUGAAAAUAGAGUGAAAAGAUCUGUUAUCUGAAGGAGCUUUAAAUAAGUUGACUAAGGAAUAGAGAUGUAGUGAACAUAUAACUAUAGUAACUAUAGUAACAUAGUGUGAUAAGGGUGUAGAAGUUGAGCUGAAAAAUAAAUGUAAAAUGGUGAUUAAAAGAUAGGUAAGCCUAGACUCUAGUGACUUAAGGGUUAAGUAAGCAAUUAUAAGACAGACACUGAGCCUGGGGAGAAAGAGAUAACUACAGGACCAGAUGGUCGUGAAAAAAAAAAAAAAAAAACUUCCCCCAUAUGCAGGUGAUAGAUGACCACAAUUGUAAAACUAUCAUGUAGUUACUUUGUAGACCUGAGCUUUGUCACAUAGACUAUUCAUUCUGAUCCCUAUAGAAGCCUUAACAGGACUUAGAGUGGGGGUCGAAUACUGGGAGAGCUGCUGCGUCAGCCACUCAAGUCUUUUUGGCCCUAGUCCGGGCUAGAAAUAAAGACUCUUUGUUUUUACUUCA